rnacentral:lncRNA from 10 species
UAGCUUCUUUUAGGGAUUCAUGUGGUUUUAGAGAAGCUGAGGCCAUUAUUGCUCCAGAGAUGGGACACAUGACCUACACAAGUCAAUCAGCACAUCCCAGCAAUCUGGCUACAGUGAUUGGUUUCCGGUGGGCAUGUGAGCUAAUCCAGACCAGUCAGACCGAAUCCUAGGUCUUCUUCUUGGAGUUGGAGGACAAAGAAAGAUCACUGUGGAUGUGGUGAGGAAAGCACCAGCGGGGUGGCGAGCAUGGAAGCUGGAGGCUAAUGCAACAGAUGAGUAAUGAGGAUGGCUUAGACAGGAAUGGUGGUAAUGGUCUGCUUCAUGAUACAUUUGGAAGGUAGAGUUGUCUUGAAUCGAGGAUGAACUGGGCAUAGGAUGUGAAGAUAAGAAAAGAAGGAUAA